AGUGAACGCUGGCGGUAGGCCUAACACAUGCCAGUCGAACGGCAGCACAGUAAGAGCUUGCUCUUACGGGUGGCGAGUGGCGGACGGGUGAGGAAUACAUCGGAAUCUACUUUUUCGUGGGGGAUAACGUAGGGAAACUUACGCUAAUACCGCAUACGACCUACGGGUGAAAGCAGGGGAUCUUCGGACCUUGCGCGAUUGAAUGAGCCGAUGUCGGAUUAGCUAGUUGGCGGGGUAAAGGCCCACCAAGGCGACGAUCCGUAGCUGGACUGAGAGGAUGAUCAGCCACACUGGAACUGAGACACGGUCCAGACUCCUACGGGAGGCAGCAGUGGGGAAUAUUGGACAAUGGGCGCAAGCCUGAUCCAGCCAUACCGCGUGGGUGAAGAGGGCCUUCGGGUUGUAAAGCCCUUUUGUUGGGAAAGAAAAGCAGCAGGUUAAUACCCCGCUGUUCUGACGGUACCCAAAGAAUAAGCACCGGCUAACUUCGUG
rnacentral:rRNA from 1 species